ACAAAAAAUGAGCAAAUGACAAUUUGAAAGACCAAAGGAAUUAGCUUGCCUUCAAAUUAUUAGAUAAACAUCUGUGUUUCCAGCAAAGUUGUGGUUAAAGACUGAAAUGGAAAAAGAGAUUGACCUGAUGAAAAGGCAAGGGAGCUCUGCAAUGGUAAAUAAUCUCUGGAGAUCCUGAAAAGAACUGCCUUCAUUUUGCCCAUGGUGUUGCAGCACAUGGGAUUAGGGAAUGAAAUCUGCUGAAGUUUCCUGGUGUGGCCUGAUCCAUAUCUACAGCAAUGUGGUUGACUCUUAACUGCUUUCUGCAAGCUCCUCAAAGCCAAGGACAAUUAGCAUGGGCAGAAAAUACCAUCCUUUUCAACAAU